rnacentral:rRNA from 1 species
UAAAUUUAGAGUUUGAUCCUGGCUCAGGACGAACGCUGGCGGCGUGCUUAACACAUGCAAGUCGAGCGAUGAAGCUUCCUUCGGGAAGUGGAUUAGCGGCGGACGGGUGAGUAACACGUGGGUAACCUGCCUCAAAGUGGGGGAUAGCCUUCCGAAAGGAAGAUUAAUACCGCAUAAUAUAAGAGAAUCGCAUGAUUUUCUUAUCAAAGAUUUAUUGCUUUGAGAUGGACCCGCGGCGCAUUAGCUAGUUGGUGAGGUAACGGCUUACCAAGGCAACGAUGCGUAGCCGACCUGAGAGGGUGAUCGGCCACAUUGGAACUGAGACACGGUCCAGACUCCUACGGGAGGCAGCAGUGGGGAAUAUUGCGCAAUGGGGGAAACCCUGACGCAGCAACGCCGCGUGGGUGAUGAAGGUCUUCGGAUUGUAAAGCCCUGUUUUCUAGGACGAUAAUGACGGUACUAGAGGAGGAAGCCACGGCUAACUACGUGCCAGCAGCCGCGGUAAUACGUAGGUGGCGAGCGUUGUCCGGAUUUACUGGGCGUAAAGGGUGCGUAGGCGGAUGUUUAAGUGGGAUGUGAAAUCCCCGGGCUUAACCUGGGGGCUGCAUUCCAAACUGGAUAUCUAGAGUGCAGGAGAGGAAAGCGGAAUUCCUAGUGUAGCGGUGAAAUGCGUAGAGAUUAGGAAGAACACCAGUGGCGAAGGCGGCUUUCUGGACUGUAACUGACGCUGAGGCACGAAAGCGUGGGUAGCAAACAGGAUUAGAUACCCUGGUAGUCCACGCCGUAAACGAUGGAUACUAGGUGUAGGGGGUAUCAACUCCCCCUGUGCCGCAGUUAACACAAUAAGUAUCCCGCCUGGGGAGUACGGUCGCAAGAUUAAAACUCAAAGGAAUUGACGGGGGCCCGCACAAGCAGCGGAGCAUGUGGUUUAAUUCGAAGCAACGCGAAGAACCUUACCUGGACUUGACAUCCCUUGCAUAGCCUAGAGAUAGGUGAAGCCCUUCGGGGCAAGGAGACAGGUGGUGCAUGGUUGUCGUCAGCUCGUGUCGUGAGAUGUUAGGUUAAGUCCUGCAACGAGCGCAACCCUUGUUAUUAGUUGCUACCAUUAAGUUGAGCACUCUAAUGAGACUGCCUGGGUAACCAGGAGGAAGGUGGGGAUGACGUCAAAUCAUCAUGCCCCUUAUGUCCAGGGCUACACACGUGCUACAAUGGUAGGUACAAUAAGACGCAAGACCGUGAGGUGGAGCAAAACUUAUAAAACCUAUCUCAGUUCGGAUUGUAGGCUGCAACUCGCCUACAUGAAGCUGGAGUUGCUAGUAAUCGCGAAUCAGAAUGUCGCGGUGAAUACGUUCCCGGGCCUUGUACACACCGCCCGUCACACCAUGAGAGCUGGUAACACCCGAAGUCCGUGAGGUAACCGUAAGGAGCCAGCGGCCGAAGGUGGGAUUAGUGAUUGGGGUGAAGUCGUAACAAGGUAGCCGUAGGAGAACCUGCGGCUGGAUCACCUCCUUU